rnacentral:rRNA from 1 species
GCAAGUCGAACGCAGUAGCAAUACUGAGUGGCAAACGGGUGAGUAUAAUGUGGGAAUCUGCCUUUUGGUUUGGAAUAACACGGGGAAACUUGUGCUAAUACCGAAUAAGCCCUUACGGGGAAAGUUUUAAUGCCGAAAGAUGAGCCCGCACUUGAUUAGCUAGUUGGUAAGGUAAAAGCUUACCAAGGCAACGAUCAAUAGCUGUUCUUAGAGGAAGACCAGCCACAUUGGGACUGAGACACGGCCCAGACUCCUACGGGAGGCAGCAGUGGGGAAUCUUGCACAAUGGGGGAAACCCUGAUGCAGCGAUGCCGCGUGAGUGAAGAAGGCCUUUGGGUUGUAAAACUCUUUCGUCGGGGAAGAAAAUGACUGUACCCGAAUAAGAAGGUCCGGCUAACUUCGUGCCAGCAGCCGCGGUAAUACGAAGGGACCUAGCGUAGUUCGGAAUUACUGGGCUUAAAGAGCUCGUAGGUGGUUAAAAAAGUUGAUGGUGAAAUCCCAAGGCUUAACCUUGGAACUGCCAUCAAAACUUUUUAGCUAGAGUGUGAUAGAGGUAAGUGGAAUUUCUAGUGUAGAGGUGAAAUUCGUAGAUAUUAGAAAGAACACCAAAUGCGAAGGCAACUUACUGGGUCACUACUGACACUGAGGAG